rnacentral:lncRNA from 1 species
GAAUUUUCAUUAUUUACAUAAUUAAAGUUUCUUGGGUAAAUCUGCAGUUAAGCGGCGUAAAAUAAUUAUAUUAUUUUGCUUUUUGCGCUCUCGUUCGCGGAGACUAAAAAACAAAAGAAAUUCAAAACGAAUUUUAAUUGCUUUGAAAGGUUUAAAAUAAAAAUUAGAUUAUAAAAAUUAUUUAGAUUAAAUAGCUUAAUUGCUGAGUAAACUUGAUUGCUAAAGAAACUAGAUUAAGUUUUUAAUUCUACUUGAUUAUCAACUGCUUUUAACGCAAAAAAAUUCAUUUGGAUUUGAGAAAAGGGAACAACAUUUUCAGAGUUUUUCUGCUUUAACCCUAAAAAUAAAAUUUAAUAAUAUCAGUGGUUUUUAUUAGGAAUUACUAAAGUUAAAAAGGCUGAAAGAAAAAAUUAUGAUGAUUUGUUUCCAGAAAAAACAAAGAGUUCAAAAUAUUAGUGGUAAGAAUUGUCAAAAACUUGUGAUAGCUAUGAUGAAGAGUUUUAUGACAAAUUCAUUCGUGAUCAAAUUUAAUAUGGCAGCUGGAAAAGACAAAGGAUCGUUUUAGUCUAACCAAGCUAUACAACUUAAUAAAAGUUUGUGCAUCGACUGCUCACUAAUCAUAAACAGAGUCGAUUGUUGAUGCAAUAAUUACUGAUUCGCUUAAAUCCAACAGAUAUCAUCGUUACGAUAUUAAUUUGUUUGUAAAUUGUUUUAGAAAAUUAAUUUAAAAAUAACUUUUAAAUAAA